rnacentral:rRNA from 3 species
UUAAGCGACUAAGCGUACACGGUGGAUGCCCUGGCAGUCAGAGGCGAUGAAGGACGUGCUAAUCUGCGAAAAGCGUCGGUAAGGUGAUAUGAACCGUUACAGCCGGCGAUGUCCGAAUGGGGAAACCCAGUGUGAUUCGUCACACUAUCGUUAACUGAAUACAUAGGUUAACGAGGCGAACCGGGGGAACUGAAACAUCUAAGUACCCCGAGGAAAAGAAAUCAACCGAGAUUCCCCCAGUAGCGGCGAGCGAACGGGGAGCAGCCCAGAGUCUGAAUCAGCUUGUGUGUUAGUGGAACGGUCUGGAAAGUCCGACGGUACAGGGUGAUAGUCCCGUACACCAAAAUGCACAGGCUGUGAACUCGAAGAGUAGGGCGGGACACGUGGUAUCCUGUCUGAAUAUGGGGGGACCAUCCUCCAAGGCUAAAUACUCCUGACUGACCGAUAGUGAACCAGUACCGUGAGGGAAAGGCGAAAAGAACCCCGGCGAGGGGAGUGAAAAAGAACCUGAAACCGUGUACGUACAAGCAGUGGGAGCACCUUCGGGUGUGACUGCGUACCUUUUGUAUAAUGGGUCAGCGACUUAUAUUCUGUAGCAAGGUUAACCGUAUAGGGGAGCCGCAGGGAAACCGAGUCUUAACUGGGCGUUAAGUUGCAGGGUAUAGACCCGAAACCCGGUGAUCUAGCCAUGGGCAGGUUGAAGGUUGGGUAACACUAACUGGAGGACCGAACCGACUAAUGUUGAAAAAUUAGCGGAUGACUUGUGGCUGGGGGUGAAAGGCCAAUCAAACCGGGAGAUAGCUGGUUCUCCCCGAAAGCUAUUUAGGUAGCGCCUCGUGAAUUCAUCUUCGGGGGUAGAGCACUGUUUCGGCUAGGGGGUCAUCCCGACUUACCAACCCGAUGCAAACUACGAAUACCGAAGAAUGUUAUCACGGGAGACACACGGCGGGUGCUAACGUCCGUCGUGAAGAGGGAAACAACCCAGACCGCCAGCUAAGGUCCCAAAGUCACAGUUAAGUGGGAAACGAUGUGGGAAGGCACAGACAGCCAGGAUGUUGGCUUAGAAGCAGCCAUCAUUUAAAGAAAGCGUAAUAGCUCACUGGUCGAGUCGGCCUGCGCGGAAGAUGUAACGGGGCUAAACUGUGCACCGAAGCUGCGGCAGCGACACUAUGUGUUGUUGGGUAGGGGAGCGUUCUGUAAGCCUGCGAAGGUGGCCUGUGAGGGUUGCUGGAGGUAUCAGAAGUGCGAAUGCUGACAUAAGUAACGAUAAUGCGGGUGAAAAGCCCGCACGCCGGAAGACCAAGGGUUCCUGUCCAACGUUAAUCGGGGCAGGGUGAGUCGACCCCUAAGGCGAGGCCGAAAGGCGUAGUCGAUGGGAAACAGGUUAAUAUUCCUGUACUUGGUGUUACUGCGAAGGGGGGACGGAGAAGGCUAUGUUAGCCGGGCGACGGUUGUCCCGGUUUAAGCAUGUAGGCGGAGGUUCCAGGUAAAUCCGGUACCUUUUUAACGCUGAGGUGUGAUGACGAGGCACUACGGUGCUGAAGUAACAAAUGCCCUGCUUCCAGGAAAAGCCUCUAAGCAUCAGGUAACAUUGAAUCGUACCCCAAACCGACACAGGUGGUCAGGUAGAGAAUACCAAGGCGCUUGAGAGAACUCGGGUGAAGGAACUAGGCAAAAUGGUGCCGUAACUUCGGGAGAAGGCACGCUGAUAUGUAGGUGAAGCCCCUGCGGGUGGAGCUGAAAUCAGUCGAAGAUACCAGCUGGCUGCAACUGUUUAUUAAAAACACAGCACUGUGCAAACACGAAAGUGGACGUAUACGGUGUGACGCCUGCCCGGUGCCGGAAGGUUAAUUGAUGGGGUUAUCCGUAAGGAGAAGCUCUUGAUCGAAGCCCCGGUAAACGGCGGCCGUAACUAUAACGGUCCUAAGGUAGCGAAAUUCCUUGUCGGGUAAGUUCCGACCUGCACGAAUGGCGUAAUGAUGGCCAGGCUGUCUCCACCCGAGACUCAGUGAAAUUGAACUCGCUGUGAAGAUGCAGUGUACCCGCGGCAAGACGGAAAGACCCCGUGAACCUUUACUAUAGCUUGACACUGAACAUUGAGCCUUGAUGUGUAGGAUAGGUGGGAGGCUUUGAAGCGUGGACGCCAGUCUGCGUGGAGCCAACCUUGAAAUACCACCCUUUAAUGUUUGAUGUUCUAACGUUGGCCCCUUAUCGGGGUUGCGGACAGUGUCUGGUGGGUAGUUUGACUGGGGCGGUCUCCUCCCAAAGAGUAACGGAGGAGCACGAAGGUUAGCUAAUCCUGGUCGGACAUCAGGAGGUUAGUGCAAUGGCAUAAGCUAGCUUGACUGCGAGCGUGACGGCGCGAGCAGGUGCGAAAGCAGGUCAUAGUGAUCCGGUGGUUCUGAAUGGAAGGGCCAUCGCUCAACGGAUAAAAGGUACUCCGGGGAUAACAGGCUGAUACCGCCCAAGAGUUCAUAUCGACGGCGGUGUUUGGCACCUCGAUGUCGGCUCAUCACAUCCUGGGGCUGAAGUAGGUCCCAAGGGUAUGGCUGUUCGCCAUUUAAAGUGGUACGCGAGCUGGGUUUAGAACGUCGUGAGACAGUUCGGUCCCUAUCUGCCGUGGGCGCUGGAGAAUUGAGGGGGGCUGCUCCUAGUACGAGAGGACCGGAGUGGACGCAUCACUGGUGUUCGGGUUGUCAUGCCAAUGGCAUUGCCCGGUAGCUAAAUGCGGAAGAGAUAAGUGCUGAAAGCAUCUAAGCACGAAACUUGCCCCGAGAUGAGUUCUCCCUGACUCCUUGAGAGUCCUGAAGGAACGUUAAAGACGAUGACGUUGAUAGGUCGGGUGUGUAAGCGUAGCGAUACGUUGAGCUAACCGAUACUAAUGAACCGUGAGGCUUAACCUU